AAAAAUAUCCUUAAGAGAUGGACAAGACUUGCAAAGUCAGCAGUAUGGGAGAAUGUUCAAGACAAGGAUCAAAGCCAAAAUGCACAGUUGUGGACACCAUGGAGACAUGCAAUAACCAAGAAUUUCUACAACCUAGUGUCAAUAUGUCAAUCAAAUGAGGAUGCAAGAACAUUAUGUGACAAGUCGUUGAAGGAAUUAUACAAAUCAGUGAAAGAAGUUUUCAAGACUGAUCAACAAAAACAACAAGAAAUCGAAGAUGAAGAACUACGAAGACAAACAGUUGAAAAUCCUGAGGUGAUAAAGACAAAAGGAAGACCACCAAAGGGAAACAAGAGAGUAAAAGGACAUUUUGAGAAGCGUAAAAUGAAGACAAGGCAUCCGAACGAAUAUGGAACAAAAACCCCAAAUGUACCUCAAGUUGAAUAGUGUUCAAAUAAUAUUAGUUUUCAAUUGUAUUCCACUCAGUAAUUGAAUUGAAAUUUACACUUGUUUAUUCCUAAGCUACUCGAAAUUCAUUAAUAUUAGUAUUUAUUGUCCUUCAGUUA